rnacentral:rRNA from 1 species
UACGUAGGGUGCAAGCGUUGUCCGGAAUUAUUGGGCGUAAAGAGCUCGUAGGCGGUCUGUUGCGUCGGCUGUGAAAACCCGGGGCUCAACCCCGGGCCUGCAGCCGAUACGGGCAGACUAGAGUUCGGCAGGGGAGACUGGAAUUCCUGGUGUAGCGGUGAAAUGCGCAGAUAUCAGGAGGAACACCGGUGGCGAAGGCGGGUCUCUGGGCCGAUACUGACGCUGAGGUGCGAGAGCGUGGGGAGCGAACCGG